rnacentral:rRNA from 1 species
CGGGGAGAGAAGCGGGAAGAGCUCAAAUUUAAAAUCUGGCUGUGUAUUCCGUCCGAGUUGUAGUCUAGAGAAGCAUCAUCCGUGCUGGACCAUGUACAAGUCUCUUGGAACAGAGCGUCAUAGAGGGUGAGAAUCCCGUCCUUGACAUGGACUCCCAGUACUUUGUGUUGUGCUCUCAACGAGUCGAGUUGUUUGGGAAUGCAGCUCAAAAUGGGUGGUAAAUUCCAUCUAAAGCUAAAUAUUGGCGAGAGACCGAUAGCGAACAAGUACCGUGAGGGAAAGAUGAAAAGCACUUUGGAGAGAGAGUUAAACAGUACGUGAAAUUGUUGAAAUGGAAACGCUUGAAGUCAGUCGCGUUCUCUGGGAUUCAGCCUUGCUUUUUGCUUGGUGCAUUUCCUAGUCUACGGGCCAACAUGAAUUUCGACCGGUGGAAAAAGGCAGAGGGAAUGUGGCACCUCCGGGUGUGUUAUAGCCCUUUGUCAGACACGCCGGUUGGGAUUGAGGUCUUUCAAGUGCACGCUUUUAGUUGUGCUUUGAUGUUGGCGUAAUGGCUUUAAACGACCCGUCUUGAAACACGGACCAAGGAGUCUAACAUGUCUGCGAGUGUUUGGGUGAAAAACCCAUGCGCGUAAUGAAAGUGAUAAGUUGGGAACCCUUCACGGGGGGCACCGACGCCCGGACCAGACCUUCUGUGACGGAUCCGAGGUAGAGCAUAUAUGUUGGGACCCGAAAGAUGGUGAACUAUGCCUGCAUAGGGUGAAGCCAGAGGAAACUCUGGUGGAGGCUCGUAGCGAUUCUGACGUGCAAAUCGAUCGUCAAAUGUGGGUAUAGGGGCGAAAGACUAAUCGAACCAUCUGGUACCUGGUUCCUGCCGAAAUUCCCCU